rnacentral:rRNA from 1 species
GAUGAACGCUGGCGGCGUGCCUAAUACAUGCAAGUCGAGCGAACGGACGAGAAGCUUGCUUCUCUGAUGUUAGCGGCGGACGGGUGAGUAACACGUGGAUAACCUACCUAUAAGACUGGGAUAACUUCGGGAAACCGGAGCUAAUACCGGAUAAUAUUUUGAACCGCAUGGUUCAAAGGUGAAAGACGGUCUUGCUGUCACUUAUAGAUUGAUCCGCGCUGCAUUAGCUAGUUGGUAAGGUAACGGCUUACCAAGGCAACGAUGCAUAGCCGACCUGAGAGGGUGAUCGGCCACACUGGAACUGAGACACGGUCCAGACUCCUACGGGAGGCAGCAGUAGGGAAUCUUCCGCAAUGGGCGAAAGCCUGACGGAGCAACGCCGCGUGAGUGAUGAAGGUCUUCGGAUCGUAAAACUCUGUUAUUAGGGAAGAACAUAUGUGUAAGUAACUGUGCACAUCUUGACGGUACCUAAUCAGAAAGCCACGGCUAACUACGUG